rnacentral:hammerhead_ribozyme from 1 species
AUGUAGCUGACGAGUCCCAAAUAGGACGAAACGAGCGUCAAACUGGAU